rnacentral:rRNA from 1 species
GACGAACGCUGGCGGCGUGCUUAACACAUGCAAGUCGAACGGAAAGGCCCUUCGGGGUACUCGAGUGGCGAAUGGGUGAGUAACACGUGGGUGAUCUGCCCUGCACUUUGGGAUAAGCCUGGGAAACUGGGUCUAAUACCGAAUAGGACCACGCGCUUCAUGGUGUGUGGUGGAAAGCUUUUGCGGUGUGGGAUGGGCCCGCGGCCUAUCAGCUUGUUGGUGGGGUAAUGGCCUACCAAGGCGACGACGGGUAGCCGGCCUGAGAGGGUGACCGGCCACACUGGGACUGAGAUACGGCCCAGACUCCUACGGGAGGCAGCAGUGGGGAAUAUUGCACAAUGGGCGCAAGCCUGAUGCAGCGACGCCGCGUGAGGGAUGACGGCCUUCGGGUUGUAAACCUCUUUCAAUAGGGACGAAGCGCAAGUGACGGUACCUAUAGAAGAAGCACCGGCCAACUACGUG